GUAGGUGGCAAGCGUUAUCCGGGAAUUAUUGGGGCGUAAAGCGCGCGCAGGCGGUUUCUUAAGGUCUGAUGUGAAAGCCCACGGGCUCAACCGUGGAGGGUCAUUGGAAACUGGGGAACUUGAGUGCAGAAGAGAAAAGCGGAAUUCCACGUGUAGCGGUGAAAUGCGUAGAGAUGUGGAGGAACACCAGUGGCGAAGGCGGCGUUUUUGGUCUGUAACUGACGCUGAGGCGCGAAAGCGUGGGGAGCAAACAGGAUUAGAUACCCUGGUAGUCCACGCCGUAAACGAUGAGUGCUAAGUGUUAGAGGGUUUCCGCCCUUUAGUGCUGCAGCUAACGCAUUAAGCACUCCGCCUGGGGAGUACGGUCGCAAAGACUG
rnacentral:rRNA from 1 species